CCUACGGGCGGCAGCAGUGGGGAAUAUUGGACAAUGGGCGAAAGCCUGAUCCAGCCAUGCCGCGUGUGUGAAGAAGGCCUUCGGGUUGUAAAGCACUUUCAGUGGGGAAGAAAGCCUUGGGGCUAAUACCCUCGAGGAAGGACAUCACCCACAGAAGAAGCACCGGCUAACUCCGUGCCAGCAGCCGCGGUAAUACGGAGGGUGCGAGCGUUAAUCGGAAUUACUGGGCGUAAAGCGCGCGUAGGCGGUCUGAUAAGCCGGUUGUGAAAGCCCCGGGCUCAACCUGGGAACGGCAUCCGGAACUGUCAGGCUAGAGUGCAGGAGAGGAAGGUAGAAUUCCCGGUGUAGCGGUGAAAUGCGUAGAGAUCGGGAGGAAUACCAGUGGCGAAGGCGGCCUUCUGGACUGACACUGACGCUGAGGUGCGAAAGCGUGGGUAGCAAACAGGAUUAGAUACCCCGAGUC
rnacentral:rRNA from 1 species